rnacentral:rRNA from 1 species
GACGAACGCUGGCGGCGUGCUUAACACAUGCAAGUCGAACGCUGAAACCAGAUGCUUGCAUUUGGUGGAUGAGUGGCGAACGGGUGAGUAACACGUGGGUGAUCUGCCCUACACUUUGGGAUAAGCCUGGGAAACUGGGUCUAAUACCGAAUAUUCACACCACCGUAGGGGUGGUGUGGAAAGCUUUAUGCGGUGUGGGAUGAGCCUGCGGCCUAUCAGCUUGUUGGUGGGGUAAUGGCCUACCAAGGCGUCGACGGGUAGCCGGCCUGAGAGGGUGUACGGCCACAUUGGGACUGGGACACGGCCCAGACUCCUACGGGAGGCAGCAGUGGGGAAUAUUGCACAAUGGGCGCAAGCCUGAUGCAGCGACGCCGCGUGGGGGAUGACGGCCUUCGGGUUGUAAACUCCUUUCGCUAGGGACGAAGCCUUUUUUGGUGACGGUACCUGGAGAAGAAGCACCGGCUAACUACGUGCCAGCAGCCGCGGUAA